rnacentral:rRNA from 1 species
CGGACGGGUGAGUAACGCGUGAGGAACCUGCCUUUCAGAGGGGGACAACAGUUGGAAACGACUGCUAAUACCGCAUGACACAUAGAGAUCGCAUGGUUUUUAUGUCAAAGAUUUAUCGCUGAAAGAUGGCCUCGCGUCUGAUUAGCUAGUUGGUGAGGUAACGGCCCACCAAGGCGACGAUCAGUAGCCGGACUGAGAGGUUGAACGGCCACAUUGGGACUGAGAUACGGCCCAGACUCCUACGGGAGGCAGCAGUGGGGAAUAUUGGGCAAUGGGCGAAAGCCUGACCCAGCAACGCCGCGUGAAGGAAGAAGGCCUUCGGGUUGUAAACUUCUUUUAAGAGGGACGAAGAAGUGACGGUACCUCUUGAAUAAGCCACGGCUAACUACGUGCCAGCAGCCGCGGUAAUACGUAGGUGGCAAGCGUUAUCCGGAAUUACUGGGUGUAAAGGGAGCGCAGGCGGGAUAGCAAGUCAGCUGUGAAAACUAUGGGCUCAACCCAUAAACUGCAGUUGAAACUGUUAUUCUUGAGUGGAGUAGAGGCAAGCGGAAUUCCGAGUGUAGCGGUGAAAUGCGUAGAUAUUCGGAGGAACACCAGUGGCGAAGGCGGCUUGCUGGGCUCUAACUGACGCUGAGGCUCGAAAGUGUGGGGAGCAAACAGGAUUAGAUACCCUGGUAGUCCACACUGUAAACGAUGAAUACUAGGUGUGCGGGGACUGACCCCCUGCGUGCCGCAGUAAACACAAUAAGUAUUCCACCUGGGGAGUACGAUCGCAAGGUUGAAACUCAAAGGAAUUGACGGGGGCCCGCACAAGCGGUGGAUUAUGUGGUUUAAUUCGAAGCAACGCGAAGAACCUUACCAGGGUUUGACAUCCUGCUAACGAAGUAGAGAUACAUUAGGUGCCCUUCGGGGAAAGCAGAGACAGGUGGUGCAUGGUUGUCGUCAGCUCGUGUCGUGAGAUGUUGGGUU